CUCGAGCCUCUCAUAAGCGAUUACCGAGGAACUGCCGGCGAAAAGCAUCACCUUGAGGAGAAUGCGGUACCGAUGACUCAACUGCAGGUAAAACGGAAGCCCACGGACGACGAGGACCGACAGCGCUGUCGCGUCACCGAUCCUCUGAACCAUAUCAAACAUAAGUAUCAUCAAAAUCGUGCGCCAGUGGAGGUUCCUUCGCAAGAUUGCCUUCUGUUCCCACAGAACAAUGAAAAUCGAGCUUUCAUUUGCUCCCACAGAACAACGAAAAGAAUCAUUUCAUCGAGG